rnacentral:sRNA from 1 species
AAGACUAUACUUUCAGGGAUCAUUUCUAUAGUAUGUUACUAAAAAUGCAUAUCAGAGAUUUCAUCACUUGUAUA